rnacentral:misc_RNA from 1 species
UCCCCAGCAUUUUGCACUAACCUGAUUCAAAGCAACUAAAAAAGUUCAGAAAUACAAAGAUGCAGUCAAGGCAGACUGAAAAAGCAUUCGCUUAUACAAGUUAUGAGUAAUGACUACUCUAAGUCUCUCAGUUUAUUCCCAAAGUAUCUAUUAGUGCAACAAAAGGGACAAGGUGUGAUGAUAUUCUUAGAAAAGUUCCUUUGAGUGACUAAUUCUCUCAGUCCAUUAUCGCACUUCUAUCAUUAAUCAAGUUCAAUAAAAAUGACAUCAAUGCAGUUUCUAAGCAAAUGGCUUCAUAAACCCCAAAGGUCAUCUCAUAAACAAGUUCUCAAUAAAGUAAAAUAUCAGCAAGCUAGUAUAUAGCAAAUUGAGAACAUCGAGGAGCAGAAUAGGACAG